UACGGGGGGGGCAAGCGUUGUUCGGAAUUACUGGGCGUAAAGGGCUUGUAGGCGGCCAACUAAGUCCGACGUGAAAUCCCCAGGCUUAACCUGGGAACUGCGUCGGAUACUGGAUGGCUUGAAUUCGGGAGAGGGAUGCAGAAUUCCAGGUGUAGCGGUGAAAUGCGUAGAUAUUGGGAGGAACACCAGUGGCGAAGGCGGCUCGCUGGACCGGUUCUGACGCUGAUGCGCGAAAGCGUGGGGAGCAAACGGG
rnacentral:rRNA from 1 species